rnacentral:rRNA from 1 species
UACGUAGGGGGCUAGCGUUGUCCGGAAUCAUUGGGCGUAAAGCGCGCGUAGGCGCCAGAUAAGUCCGGUGUGAAAGUCACAGGCUCAACCUGUGAAUGCCGCUGGAAACUGUCUGGCUUGAGUCCGGAAGGGGCGAGUGGAAUUCCUGGUGUAGCGGUGAAAUGCGCAGAUAUCAGGAGGAACACCGGUGGCGAAGGCGGUUCUCUGGGCAUGUCCUGACGUGAGGAGCGAAAGUGUGGGGAGCGAACAGG